rnacentral:sRNA from 1 species
GCUGGGCAUGGUGGCACAUGCCUGUAAUCCCAGAGGCUCAGGAGGCUGAGAUGGGAGGAUUGAAAGUUCAAAGCCAGCCUCAGCAAUGGUGAGGUGCUAAGCAACUCAGUGAGAUCCUGUCUCUA